rnacentral:misc_RNA from 1 species
CUCUCUCAAAAAAGAUUUUUUUUUUUUUUUUGGUAUUGCUCGUACUUGUUUUAAAGUUGAGUGAAAUGAAUUGGCAAGGCAGUUUUCUAGCUAUCAACGUAUUAGGUUUUACCAUUUCGUUGGAAGAGCAAAAAGACAAGCCGGGCGAUAUAACUGGGUUUUACCCAAAAU